CCCUGUGGACACAGCGCGGCACUGCAGCCCCCCCGAGCCAGCGCCCCGCCCCUCGCAGCUGGGCGCCGGGGGGGCGGGGGAAGGACGGCUGCCGAGGGAGGGGAGGGCGAGGGGCGGGAGAAGCGAGCGGCGAGCGGGGCGGUGUCUGUAAAUAGCGGGGAGGGGCGAAGGUGUUUCAGAAGCGUAAAGAGACGCCGUGGCUGAGGCAGGCCCUGCGACGACGGCGUCGGCCUCCGAGCGCAGCCGAAGCGUGCGCCCCGAGGAGCCGGGCAUUCUUAGGAGAAUGCUGUUUCUGUACUCCUGACUUCCCGUCACGCCAGGGACACGUGGCUUGGAGCACAGCAGCCGGAUUCCUCACUUAGCCGUGUCAGCUUGGUGCAGGUUACGAAUUACAGGGUGACUUGGAAACCCAGAAACAAAGGGAAGAAGCUGGUAUGUCUCUUAGCAGGGG